AGUGAACGCUGGCGGCAGGCCUAACACAUGCAAGUCGAACGGCAGCACAGUAAGAGUUUGCUCUUACCGGUGGCGAGUGGCGGACGAGUGACGAAUAUAUCGGAACCUUCUCUUUCGGGGGGGAUAACGUAGGGAAACCUACGCUAAUACCGCAUAUGACGCACCGGUGUAAGCAGUGGAUCUUCGGACCUUGUGCGAUUGAACGAGCCGAUGUCGUAUUAGCUAGUUGGCGGGGUAAAGGCCCACCAUGUCGACGAUCCGUAGCCGGUCUGAGAGGCUGGUCGGCGACACUGGAACUGAGCCGCGGUCCAGACUCCUACGGGAGGGAGCAGUGGGGAAUGUUGGGCAAUGGGCGCAAGCCUUAUCCAGCGAUCCCGCGUGGGUGACGGAGGCCUUCGGGUUGUAAAGCCCUUUUGUUGGGAAAGAAAAGCAGUAGGUUAAUACCCAGCUGUUGUGACGGUACCCAAAGAAUAAGCACCGGCUAACUACGUG
rnacentral:rRNA from 1 species